AUCUCGACGUCGUCGUCAUAAUUGUAUUCGUGCUUGCUCAACUGUCCAUGGAGGAAAGAGAACCGACGCAAAGAAGUUCCCAAGGUCCUCCGGCAAAUUUUACAAACUCCGGCGACUUCGGCCAUCGUUGGGGCUGCAUGAGGUGACUGUGCACAACAGCUUUCUAGGAGUCUAUGUGGAUGUAUGAUGCUGGUGUGAGUUCUAGAUUAAGAGUUUGAAGCUGGGUCGUGUUUAAUUAAAGAGUAGCACAGUACGGGUAUCGGUGCAAGGAACUUGGACAGAAUUUGAAAGAAAAUCUGGCAGCAAGUUUCUGGAUGGCAAAUUGGAACAAGGUGAGGAGUGUCAGUAUUUAGCCAUGAAGCUCUCCUGAGAAGCAAAGAGUAUUCCGACUCUACUGUGGCUGAGGUAAAGCAGAAAGUGCUGUUAGCAUGGAGAGUACAACGACCAAAGACUCAGAUUACUCUUUUAUUUGACUAGAAAGUCCCAGAACAAGAAAAUGUGGUGGUGUUGGCCUAGGAACGCAAAUGGAAAUCAAGCAGCGAUAUCUCAGGUAGGGGAUUCUGGACUUGCCUCGGUUAGUAGUUUUAUGAAUGUGAUAAUAAAGAAAUGAUUUAUGCAUGAAAGAAAUAUAUUUUCGAUUCCUUGUGAAUUAUUAUUUGAUGACUUGAGAGUGAGUGGGGCAUAGUGACUUCCUUGGGUUUCGAUCCCCUAAACCUCCGGAGGGGCUGUACGGACUGGAGGACGUCUAACAUCCUUUGAGGUGUGACGUCGCUCCUAGGCGGUAUGGCAUAAAUGUACACUCUCGCUACACCUUGCCGGUGUGUAUGAUAUUAAUUGUGGUAAGGUUGUAGUUGGCUUGAGAUAGACCGGUCAUCAGGUUUGUAUUUCUACCUUGGGCCCUACCUGCAUAUUUUUACAAGGAAUGUUUAUUUCAUACUGUUAUGCAUUAUUUUCACUAUUAGCCAUGGCAAAUGUUUUAAAUUGUUUUAACACCUAGUUGGGGUAAAGUUUAUUGAGCAGCGAGGGCGAAAACUCACCCCUACAACAGUUUGUGGAUGCAGGUACUGUGUACGAUGACGGGAUAGCUGAACAACGUUGAGUGUGGCUUAGACAUUCUAUAUUUCUUGUCAUUGUCAGAGUUAUAUCCGUAUGAUAAGUUUCUUUAUUUAUCGUGUCCUUGUAUACCCUUUUUAUCGAGUAUGUGUAUAUUUGAGAAACUAUUCAUCUUGCAAGCUUUUCGAUUGUUGAUCAUGAAUCGGAUUGAUAUUGAUUUUUGUUUUAGAGGGCUUGUUUGAUUUGAAAGAUAUCUAAACGUGUUAUAUUUUGAUAGGAGCAUAAUUAUGCGACAAUAUGAUGGUUAAUUCCCCUCUUUACUUUAUUAGUUUAUCGUAUUUUUCAUUUGAUUUAGUUAUUUUUAUGUUUAUUAGGUGUUUCGGAGCAAAGAAAGGAAUAUGAAGCAAAAAAGGAGAAAUCUUGAAGGAUUAGGAAUUCAUGUCGUGUAAGGAAAGAAUUAUGGGAUUUGCCAGAAAUUAUUAUCUAACUUCGACAGAGGAUUGUGAUCAGCUCACAACGAUCCAGACAAUGAGUUAUAUAUCAAUAGAAAGCUACAAGAGUCUACUUUCUAGAAUUUUUUACGGAUCGUCAAUACCUAUUUUGUAGAAGAACUUAUGAUCAUUUUAGUGGCCGAAGGUCAGUCUGCCCGAAUUUCUGAUUUGGACCGUAACUUCAAUUUCAAGGCUCAAUCCAAAUCAGCUGGCCCAUGGACGGAAAUUGAGGGUUCUCUAACCUAAUAUCAUCUGAUACACGAGAGGAAACGAAGAAAAAGAAGACAAGUCGGGAAGAAAAGAACACAAGAAUCGGACGGAACAAGAUUGAUCUCUUCUCAAGGAUUCUCCAAGCUCGGUUAUUGUUGUCUUCCCCUUCCAUGAACUCUUUUGUGUUUUUAAUUUUCAUUAUGCGCAACUAAACUCAUAGUAGCUAGGGGGCUGUUGAAGCCCCUAGACAUGAUUCAUAACAUGUUUUGAUUUUCAAUUUGUUUUUGCAAUUAAUAAGAUUGAGGUUUUGUUUACC